GCUGAUUAGAAGCAUCGUGGCAAUUGUUUGAGAAAAUAUAGGUAGUUCUAGUGAAUGCACUACAGAAUGUUGGAAGUAGUGGUGAGCUUAUAGAUUUAAAAUGUGUUAGAAUCAAAUAAAAAAACAAAAAUAAAAUUUAGAAUCUGUCUACAGCAGCGAAGAUGACCUUCAAAUUGGACCUUCUCAAAUGAUUCGUGUGAGAAAUUGCUUCUGCUGUACGAGUUUGAAGUUAGAGCCAAAUUGAAUGAUCCAUUACUGGAAAGCUUCCUGGAAUCAGUGUGGGAGCUGCCUCAUUUAGAAACUAAAACAUUUGAAACAAUUGCAAUAAUAGCAAUGGAGAAGCCUGCACACUAUCCUUUAAUUGCUCUCAAGGCCUUGAAAAAGGCUUUAUUGCUCUACAAAAAGGAAGAAUCAAUUGAUAUAUCACAGUACAGCAAAUGUAUGCACAACUUGAUUAACCUCUCAGUGCCAGAUGGGUCGUCGAAUGUAGAGCUCUGUCCCCUGGAAGAAGUUUGGGGCUAUUUUGAAGAUGCUCUGAGCCACAUUAGCCGCACUAAAGACUACCCAGAAAUGGAGAUUCUCUGGCUGAUGGUCAAGUCCUGGAAUACUGGAAUACUUAUGUUUAGCAGGAGCAAGUAUGUAUCUACUGAAAAGUGGUGUGGCCUGGCUUUGCGUUUCCUUGACCACCUUACCUCCUUCAAGGAAAGCUAUGAAACUCAGCUGAAUAUGCUGUAUAGUCAGCUUGUGGAAGCACUGAGUAACAACGAGGGCCCAGUUUUUCAUGAACAUGGCUACUGGAGCAAGUCAGAUUAGGCAAGCUCACGGCCACAUGAAGAAGAUACGUUGUCCUGAGAUGCUGACUGUUUAAAUUUUUGCCAGAGUUUCUCUUGAGGUUUUGUUUCUGUUUCCUCAGACCCUGUUUUCAUGUUGUUGAAUAAACUUUCUAAAAUAAAAGCAUGUUGAAUUUACCUUGGUGACCAGCUCAUUUCUGGGGGACAAACGAAUUUUCCAAAGUGCUAAGGAUGAUAUUGAAACA
rnacentral:lncRNA from 1 species